CACGUUAGUUAAAGUAUAUACUUCGUAUCGUCUUCUACCUAUUCAAACACGUAUUAGUGGAUAUAUACAUCGUAAUCUUUUUUUAAAAGUCGAGCAUAUUGGAUAUUACCAUUUAUAUAUCCAAUCUCGACAACUCACUCAACUUUUAUCGACAAAAGUUUUUUUUUUCUCUAUUUGCCGGCUCGUCUCUCACUCAGUAUGAAAACACAAAUUAGAUUAUCACCUAGACGUAUUUCAAGUUGAACUACCAUUAAUCAACGUUAUAUUCUACUUGACGGAGACUUAUUUCAAACUUCAAACGGAUUACCAGGAUUUCUUGCAUGGAAUGAACAUGGAUAAUUAUAAUGUGUGGUUAAGUUUGGUUAUCAUCUAGCUGUGUGGUGUUCCCUUAUGCGGUUAAGACGACUUAAGCCGGGUCCGCCGAGACGAUUUGUAAAGUUUCUCGGCAAUGUCGUUCCUGGGUGGGGUGUAAUGAUCAUAAAUUUUAGUGUAGAAAAUUCCGAAUUUGAUGACGAUAAAGGAUAGACUGGUAUAAAGAAAAAUCAGAAUUAAUCCAGUGUAUUAGUUGGACAAAGUUUUAAAAUGGAUUAGAUUAGAACACGGUUGUGAACGACUAAGUAAUCCCGCUAAAAAUUGUGUUCACGUCUUUUUUUGUUGUUAAAGUUUGUAAAAUACUUAUAAAUAACUACUAGUUAAGUAGUGGAUGUUUAUUUAAUAUUUUUCUGUGAACUCCGGGUUUUAUAAAAAAAAAAGGAGUUUUAUCACAAAUAUGUUUCUGUGAACGACAAGAGAAAAACAAAUAAGUGAUAUUUUUCAGUUUAUCGUCGGAGUGUACGAUUAAGAAUUUAAAGUUUUUCUCGGUGUGUCGCGAGUCGGUUGGUUUUAGAAUCACUUUUACCUCAGUGCUUGUGUUAUUUUUCUUUGUUUCGUUUCGUUUUGGUUGUUUUUUUUUUUUACUUUGUGUUACGUUUUCUAUAUCUUCAUCAUUAUUAUCUAUGGAUGUAAGUGAGGGAAUUAUAUUGGAGUUUCUUGUCGCUUAGGAUGGAUAUAACGUCAGCCUACAGUUUUGCGGGCGCAUUAUGAGGACAGCAGAAAUCUCUGUGCAAAACGGCCAAUACAGGUUGUCGACGCUACUACUACUGCUCAUACUACUACUAAUAUUUGGUGCUGUUACAGUUCAUGGUUCGCCAGCAGUUAAUGAUAUUAUAUUCAGAAAGAUUAAAGAACAGAAGAUAGUGCUGCCACCAGGCGACUCUCUCAAAUUCAACUAUCAGCUUAUUAACCAGUGUAGUAAUAGACAUGUUCAAAUGAAGUACGGAGGAAAACGGGGUAGAGUCAAUGGUCGGGGUCGCCCCUCAAGUAAUUUCACCCAUUUAACUUUUAUCUCCUUAUCAGACGGAGUAAUUCGUGUUCGAGGGGCCGAAACCAAAAAAUAUCUCUGUUUCAACAGAAAGGGCAGAUUAGUCUUAAAG